UCAGGGAAAUCAACCUUUGCUGUUUGCUAAC
rnacentral:piRNA from 1 species